rnacentral:rRNA from 1 species
UAAUACUGGAUAGGCAAUUUUUCCUGUAAUGGUUUUUUGUUUAAAUGUUUUUUCGCCUAAGGAUGGGUCUGCGGCCGAUUAGGUAGUUGGUUAGGUAAUGGCUUACCAAGCCUUUGAUCGGUACGGGUUGUGAGAGCAAGAGCCCGGAGAUGGAACCUGAGACAAGGUUCCAGGCCCUACGGGGUGCAGCAGGCGCGAAACCUCCGCAAUGUGAGAAAUCGCGACGGGGGGAUCCCAAGUGCCAUUCUUAACGGGAUGGCUUUUCAUUAGUGUAAAGAGCUUUUGGAAUAAGAGCUGGGCAAGACCGGUGCCAGCCGCCGCGGUAACACCGGCAGCUCUAGUGGUAGCAAUUUUUAUUGGGCCUAAAGCGUCCGUAGCCGGUUUAAUAAGUCUCUGGUGAAAUCCUGUAGCUUAACUAUGGGAAUUGCUGGAGAUACUAUUAGACUUGAGACCGGGAGAGGUUAGAGGUACUCCCAGGGUAGAGGUGAAAUUCUGUAAUCCUGGGAGGACCGCCUGUUGCGAAGGCGUCUAACUGGAACGGUUCUGACGGUGAGGGACGAAAGUUAGGGGCGCGAACCGGAUUAGAUACCCGGGUAGUCCUAACUGUAAACGAUGCGGACUUGGUGUUG